ACAGAAGCCCUGCUGAGAAACGCUGCCUUAUAAUUAAGUUUGUUUAUUACAUGUGCAUGACUAAUAUUAGUAGCUCAAGAGUAACCCCAGAGUUCAGUGGGUACACCAUUCAUAAGAUCAAGACAACAAUAUUAUCAUACCCAUCACAUUUCUUACAAUCAGGUAAUUAAAAUGUCAGUUGCACCUAGACUCUAUAAGGCACAUCAAUUAGAUUGCAUAUGCUUACAGUUGGGAUUCCCCAAUAUUACAUAAUUUCAAAUUAAAUAGACAAUGUGA
rnacentral:lncRNA from 1 species